UACGGAGGGGGCUAGCGUUGUUCGGAAUUACUGGGCGUAAAGCGCACGUAGGCGGACUGGAAAGUCAGAGGUGAAAUCCCAGGGCUCAACCUUGGAACUGCCUUUGAAACUCCCGGUCUUGAGGUCGAGAGAGGUGAGUGGAAUUCCGAGUGUAGAGGUGAAAUUCGUAGAUAUUCGGAGGAACACCAGUGGCGAAGGCGGCUCACUGGCUCGAUACUGACGCUGAGGUGCGAAAGCGUGGGGAGCAAACAGG
rnacentral:rRNA from 1 species